rnacentral:rRNA from 1 species
AAUAGAUACCCUGGUAGUCCACGCCCUAAACGAUGCAUAUUUGGUGUGGGCAGUUCAUUCUGUCCGUGCCGGAGCUAACGCGUUAAAUAUGCCGCCUGGGGAGUACAGUCGCAAGGCUGAAACUCAAAGGAAUUGACGGGGGCCCGCACAAGCGGUGGAGCAUGUGGUUCAAUUCGACGCAACGCGAAGAACCUUACCUGGGCUCGAACGGCUGGUCAACGGCGGUGGAAACACCGCUACCCCGCAAGGGGUCCAGUCGAGGUGCUGCAUGGCUGUCGUCAGCUCGUGUCGUGAGAUGUUGGGUUAAGUCCCGCAACGAGCGCAACCCUUGUCCUGUGUUGCCAUGCCGAAAGGCGGAACUCGCAGGAGACCGCCAGGGAUAACCUGGAGGAAGGUGGGGAUGACGUCAAGUCCUCAUGGCCUUUAUGUCCAGGGCUACACACGUGCUACAAUGGACGGUACAAAGCGCAGCAAACCCGCGAGGGGAGCCAAUCGCAAAAAACCGUUCUCAGUUCGGAUUGCAGGCUGCAACCCG